GACCUGAACUCGAAAUGACGGUAAAUACGAAGUUCAUGAAAAGGGAGGUGGGGUCAAUCAUCGUCAGGCUUGCGUGGAAAAAAUAUUAAUCUCUGUAAGCGUAUCUGGGGCAGGGAAUAUCGAUCGUACGAUCUGGGUCAGAGCUUGCAUGCACCUUGCUGCACGCGUACGCGGCAGGGUGCAGCGGCCAUGUCGUUUGAACAACGACGUACACGUGUGUAGCCCUCGCGAAAAGUCUCACGUGCAAGGUGCCUCUCCACCUCUGGAAACUUACAACAGUCAGCGCGAUAAGAGCGAAUAAAUGCGAACCGCCGACUGCUAAGAGACUGCUUCCUUAGUUUAAUUCCCCGCGUUGGAAACACGUGGCCAACGGACACGAGGAGUACAAAAUAACCCGGUGAAUUACACAAUAAGGAGAUUGAAGAUAAAUGUAUAAUUGCAUGGAUGACUGACGAGAUUAACUAUGACAAUGUCUAAGAUGAAACGAUGGAACAAUGGACGACAGAGAAUCGCUAACCGAUAUUUUAUCUAACUCGAAUUCGAAUAUAAUUUGAGAAAUUCAUCUCUAAUACACCAUCAAUGAAACUUUUAUCGUAAUUUCGAAAUAUCCACGCUGUUAGAGAAAAUUU